CACAAGCUUGGUCCUGACUUUGUUGUCAACUUUGAUUAAAUUUAUACAUGCAAGUCUCCGCACCCCUGUGAGAAUGCCCUACCUACACCCGUAUCCGGGAGAAAGGAGCUGGUAUCAGGCACAACCUUGUUAGCCCACAACACCUUGCUCAGCCACACCCCCAAGGGGACCCAGCAGUAAUAAACAUUAAGCCAUAAGUGUAAACUUGACUUAGUUAUCAUCAAGAGGGCCGGUAAAACUCGUGCCAGCCACCGCGGUUAUACGAGGGGCCCGAGCUGACAACCCCCGGCGUACAGCGUGGUUAAUAAAUUUAAAACUAGAGCCAAACACCUUCAAAGCUGUCAAACGCGCUCGAAGGUAGGAAGAACCUUAACGAAAGUGGCUUUAAACUUAUGAAUCCACGAAAGCUAGAAAACAAACUGGGAUUAGAUACCCCACUAUGUCUAGCCUUAAACACAAAUAUGCCAUUACACCCUUAUUCGCCAGGGAACAACGAGCUCCAGCUUAAAACCCAAAGGACUUGGCGGUGCUUUAGACCCCCCUAGAGGAGCCUGUUCUAGAACCGAUACUCCCCGUUCAACCUCACCCUCUCUUGUUUCUCCCGCCUAUAUACCGCCGUCGUCAGCCUACCCUGUGAAGGAUUUAAAGUAAGCAAAAUUGGCACAGCCUAAAACGUCAGGUCGAGGUGUAGCGCACGAGAGGGGAAGAAAUGGGCUACAUUUACUGUCUCAGUAAACACGAACGUUGCACUGAAAUAAGCAUCUGAAGGAGGAUUUAGCAGUAAGAGGAAAAUAGAGUGCUCCUCUGAAAACGGCCCUGAAGCGCGCACACACCGCCCGUCACUCUCCCCGAAAAACUGCAACCAAUAUAUAAUACAACUAAAUACAUAGAGGGGAGGCAAGUCGUAACAUGGUAAGUGUACCGGAAGGUGUACUUGGACAAACCC
rnacentral:ncRNA from 1 species